GUAUUCUGUUCUGGUCUGGGAGUUGGUGCUUUGGGGUUACUCUUGCGGUGUAUUCCAGCGGUAUAAUGUGUCCCGCUGGGGUCUUCCGGAAUGUGACUGUGGAGUGAAGUAGCGGACCGAAGGGUUCCGCGGUGGAGUUCCAUGUUCUUAGUUAAGAGCGCACAUUAAGGAUAUCAUAGCGUUUACAAGAGGUUCAAACAGCAUUUAGCAAAGUAUCAAUGUUUUGAAAAAGUAAAGCAACACAAAAAAUGUUUGAGUUUUGAACUCAACUUUGAAACUCCAUAGCUAUGUGGGAAAGCAUACCUCUGCCACUAGCCGGCGGUGGACCUUUCGCGAGUCUAUCAUCGGUUGCUUUUGCAUGGUUUACAGAGAUUUGCCGAAAUGUCUUUUGGUCUUUCGGUUGAGGCUUGUCUUUCAAAAGUUGUGGAUGAUCUUCCGGAAUAGUACCUUUAUCAUUGUAUAACCCUUCCAUUGAAAUAACUCAGAGUAAUCAAAUUCUCGUCACUAUUUAUUUCUUAACGGUUGUAAUCGUUGUAACCUUAGCUAUUAUUUGCAAAUUAAAUUGUCUAUUAUGGGGAGGUUAAUUUUUUUUUUUCAUGUUAAUGCUAAUUUGACCACUUCUACUAGCCUAUAAAUAUCGUGGUUGGGCAUAUGGUUUCACAACCUUAUGAAA